CGGAGCUGGGCCGCGCCGGAGCAGGCGGUGGCGAUGGCGGCGUCGGGGUCGCUGCCCGCCGUGGCGGCCGCGCCGGGGGCCCGCCUGGAGAGCGUGCGGGCGCUGGCGGGCCUGUUCCGGGAGGUGCAGCACAGAGAAAUGGCAAAAGAAAGUGUAUUUCGGGAUCUCCUGGAAAUCCUGAGGGGCGCCUCAGAUGAGAUUGAGCAGGCCUACAAGGACUACUGUGAACUGGUAGAUCUAGACACCUGCCUGCUGCUUAUCACAGAGUGUUUCAGAUGUCUGAGGAAUGCCUGUGUUGAGUGUGCCAAGAAUCAACAUGUCAUGAGGAACCUGGGUCUCAUCUCUACAUCCGUCUGUUUGAUCAAAUUGCUUCAUGGAAUACAAAUCAAAGAAGAAUUGUUAUUGACCGCUCUUCGUUGUAGCCUCCAGUUUCUUGGAAACAUUGCAGCAGGAAAUGGAGAUUCCCAGAAUAGCAUUUGGAAGUGUGCUUUCCCAGAUCUCUUCUUGACAUGCCUAACGUACAGUGAUAAGAAAAUUGUUGCCUAUUGUUGUAUGGUCCUGUUCACCUGCCUUAAUUCAGAGAAAGUGAGAGAACUACUGGAUCCUGGAAACUUGACUGUGGCUCUUCAUGUCCUGAAAGUCUACAAAGAGCAGUUGGAGUCUGAGUGGUCGUUCUUGAUUGUUACAGACUAUUUGCUGAAAUGUCCAGAGUUGGUAGAAGCCCUCUAUGCCAAACUGAGCAAUCAAGAAAGAGUUACUUUGUUAGAGCUGAUGAUGGUGAAUGUAUCUGAGAAGAACCUACAUACCAGUGAAGAAAUGAAUGUGUUCAUGAGACAUGCUGACUUCCUUGCAGGCUGUUUCCAAGAGAAAUAUGAAGCUGUGCUCAAGUUAACUUCUGCAGCAGAUGCAGAUGAUGAGGAAGCUCUGGUUACAAUUCGUCUUCUUGAUGUUCUUUGUGAAAUGACAUCAAACAAUGGACAGCUAGAAUAUCUACAGGCUUUGCCUGGUUUGCUUGAAACAGCCAUAGAUACCCUGAGAUUAACUCAUCUUGCUGGGAAACAGACUGUAAAUGUAUUCACUGCCACACAUGCUAUGACAGGGCAGGAAGAAAUUUUGCAUCCAGCUGUGGAUUUUAAGUCUCAUCUCAUUCGUUUGAUUGGAAAUUUGUGUUACAAAAAUAAGGAAAACCAAGACAAGGCCCCUGGAGCAAUUAGGCAAGCAGACUUCGUGUUUUCAAGGGAAGGUUUAUGAGUUAGAUGGCAUCCCCUUGAUCCUGGACAACUGCAGCAUUGAUGACAACAAUCCUUUUGUGAACCCAUGGGCAGUAUACACUAUCCGAAAUCUCACUGAACAAAAUGAGAGAAACCAAGAGCUUAUUGCGCAGAUGGAGGAGAAGGGGCUGGCAGACAAUUCUGCCCUUGAGAGUAUGGGCUUAAAGAUAGAGAAACAAGAUGACAAGUUAAUUCUGAGAUCUGUCAGGAAGAAGCCCUGAUGAACAAAAAAUUAAGAACAGUUAAUAAAAGUAGAUUUCUCUUUUAAAAUAUUUUUCCCUGCUCAGGCAUUCAAGAUUUCUUCAGUUUUAGUUCCAGUCUGCUGGAAGUGUUACAUUCAUGCUCAGAAAAACUGCCGAAUGGUACUUCUGCCUCGCUGUUGUAAACAAAAGGACACUUACACAUCUUCUAAAUACCUAGAUAAAUUAACCUAUGGAAAAAGAUCUUUCUUUUCAGAUGCUUGAAAUUUCAUUACUUUCUUGUUUCAUUAGUAGAAAGAUCUCAUGCGUGCAGUAGUGAGCUGUUAAAAUUUCCAUUGUUGAACCUGGAGAUAACUAUCAUUAAAAACUCAACAAAGAAGUAAGUGCUUUGCAGUCUGCCUUCUCCACGUAAGAUACGUGUGCUGAGUCAGAGCUAAACAAUGAAAGUUACUUGUUUUCAAUCAUGGUGCUUAAGUAUCAGUUCUUACAUAAGGAUUGGUGGAACACUGGAUGUACAUAAAUAUUUAGUGAAUUAAAGACAAUAUGCCUUCUGUGUAUUUAUAUUAUUAGUAAAUUGUCUUUUCUACCUUGUUACCUUUCAGUCUUCAUGACAAGUAUAUUAAAAACAAAGCUGAAGCUGUUGUGGCAACAGAUGCUACAUUCCUUUGCACUGGGGCAUGUCUCUGUUUUGGAGACUUGGGUGUUUGUUUGAAUUUUAUUUGUUCCUUUGGAUGGUAAGUCAGCCUACUUUCCUUUUAUUUUGCACUUCUCAUGGGUUUUCUGAACUCUGGCAGACUGCUGAAGAGGUAGUUUCUCACUGUGAUUAAUUCUAGCAGUUUCUUUUCACCCCUCUGCCUUUCCAAAACAUUGACAAAACUCAUUUCCAGUUAAUUAAUUCAAGAGAGGCAGAAGAAUGGAAGGCCCUGCCUCUUCAUUUUGGGUACCCUCCUGUAUUGUUGUUGGACCCUGCCACUGUGGAAUGUGGCAUGAAUGAGAUGUGGGGAGAAGGGGGGUGAAGAAGGCGGGGGGUGGGGGGGGCAUGGUUAACUCUGUGUGUGCCAUAGCUUUGCCCUGGUAGCCAAGAAGUGUAAUCCUGCAUGCAUAAGCAAAACAAGAAUUACAGCAUAAUAUCACUAGCACUUGUAUAUCAGUGCUGUCAUUUGAUUAUCUUCAGUUGUGUCUAACAGGAGGGUCCCAGAAGAAUUAAAUUGUUCAUGUUGUUGUCAUCAUUUAAUCCUAUUCUCAAAUGGAAAGGCAAGUUUAUGUCCUAAAACUACAUGUAGAUGUAACAGACAUUCAGCCAUGUGCAUCAGCCUUAGCUGCUCUAAUUCGUUUUUUGAUCUGAAAAUGGAAAAAAAACACAUGGUGCUUUGAACUAUGAGAAAUACAUAGUCAUUCUUAAAAUGGAUAGUUAGUGUAGCCAGACUACUAAGAUAUUUUCAAGUUAACCAUAAAAUUAAGUGUCUACUGUGCUGACCAGGUGGGACUAUGGAAUUGACCUAGUGGGAUUUUAGUAACCUGCUGGUUUUAAAGGCAGUGAUAUGAAACUGCUGUCUUUAGCCUUUUAUUAAGUAAAAGAUGAAUAUAAAGGGAUAUUGGCAAUAGGAACAGAAACUGUAACUUUUGUUGCUUUUAGUGACUUCUUACUUUAAAAACAAAUGGGGAGAAAAGUGUUUGUUGCUUGUAUUCAUAUUUAUUCUUUGCUAAAACAAAGUGCUUUGUUUGCUUUUUGAAAACUAAUUUGACAGGACAUUUCAGCAGGUGUUAAAAACUGUUGUGUUUCAAGUGGUGGUUUAUAAAGUCAUUUCUUAUACAGGUAGGUGCUUUUUGCUAGUUGAAUGGAAAAUAAUAUAUGGGUUGGGUUCUUCUUGAGCACAUGGUCUGUCACUUUGUGGUUUCUGAGUGAUUUCCAUAAGCCUUAAUUCUUGUGUUUAGGCCAGGAUUCAUUUAGCAGUUAAAUUACUGUGUCACAUAAGAUUUACAGCUGGUUUUGUUUUUAAUCUUUUUCUCCAUAACACAAUGGAAAAAUCAUACUUAUAGCACCC